rnacentral:lncRNA from 1 species
UUCACAGUGAUGGUCUGUGCAAAUUGGGUGGGUUGAAGGGCUGCAAUGUUCACUGUAGCACCGCACACGGGAAGAUGGCUUUGCUCAACACUCCGUGGGCCAUCGGCGCCUGCGUGGAGGGUGACUGCGUUUGCAGAUUCAACGAAGACCAAAUUCGGAAUGCCAUUCCCAAAAACUGUAUCAAGUUUCAUUUUUCAUCUCUGGAGAGGGAAGAAAGAAAUCGUCGAAGAAAUGAUCGAGGAAAAAUUUUCCAAAUUGAGUGUGGAUAAAAAAUUCGAGUGGUAUAUGAAGGUCUACGAGAAAUCUUACAGCACAAAGGAGAAGAGGCAACGUCUUCGGAUUUUCGAAGAAAACCUCCUCAAAAUUAGUGAGCUCAUGGCAAAAAGAAAAGGCUCCGUCGUUUACGGAAUCGGCCCGUUCACAGACCUCAGCAGCAAGGAAUUCGCUGAAAAAUACAUUGGAAAGCAGGACCCACCGAGCGACUUAUCCGACGAAGACGACGAGAUCGGUCAGCUGCAGACUCGGAUGUUAGGAAAAGGAAAAGGAAAAGGAAAAGGAAAAGGAGAAGGAGAAGGAAAAGGGACGAAAUCGAAAUCUCCGCCGCGGAGGAAAACGAAAUCCGGCUCUCGAUCACCCGAUCGAUCUCGUGCUCGCUCUCUAUCUCCGCCCAGAUCAUCUCCUCGACCGUCUCUCCAACGGACAGCUAGCGGAUAUCGCAGACUGUUCCCUCCCAACUUCCGCCCGGCCAAAAAAUGGGAUCCUGAGUAUCGACCCAUGAAGGAUGGGACGUCGCGUCGACACAACUUCAGAAUGGACCCAGGCCCCAGCGAGGGAGUUCCCUGGAUAUUCGGGAGCUCCCCCAUAGGGGACCCCAUCACCGAUUGGCGGAUACCCCCUGAGCUUUAUCCUCCUGCGGAACACCAGGUGCGUCAUGAUACAUUCCUCUUCUUCUUCUUCUUCUUCUUCUUCUUCAUCUUCUCAUUCUUCUCUCGUUCUUCUUCUCAUUCUUCCUCUCCUCCAUCUUUAUCUUCAUAUUCAUCUUCAUCUUUAUAUUCAUCAUCUUCUUCUUCUUCCUCUCCUUAAUCUUUAUCUUCAUAUUCAUCUUCAUAUUCAUAUUCAUCUUCUUCUUCUUUUUCAUCUUCUUCUUCUUCAUCUUCCUCAUCAUCUUCUUCUUCUUCUUGCUCUCCUUCCUCUCCUUAUUUUUUCCCUCCCUCUCCUUAUUUUUUCCCUCCCUCUCCUUAUUUUUUCCCUCCCUCUCCUUUUUUUCUCCUUUCUUUUUCCUUAUCUUCUACAUUCUCUUUUUCUCUGUCUCCCUCCAUUAGUUCUCCUUUUUUCCAUUUUCUUUCUGCUUAUCCUUCAUCAGCUCAUUAUUAUUAUUCUCCUUCUUUCUAACUAAUCUUCUUCUUUCUCUUUUUCUCCAUCAUAUUACAUUAGUUCUCCUCUUUCUUCCAUUCCUCUUCUCGGCUACUUCUGUCUUAUUACUCUUCCAUUUCUUCUUCUCAUUUAUAUUCUUUUAUUUAUUCUUAUUCUUCUCCUUUUCAUUCUAUUUUUCUUUUUUCGGCUUCAUCCCACGUCUUCUUUCUCUUCGUCAUCUUUUUUUUUUUAUUAAAGUUUAUUGUAUAAGAAUACAAGAAAUGUCACCACUACGUUACAAUCAGUUACAUUUUGGUAUCUAUCGACAAGAAUUAAUUUAAAUAGUAAAUGUUAUAACAGAACUAAAUAACGUAUGAUAAGUAACAAACUUAUCAUGAAGGUCUGGCGCAUGUAAUGCCCCAGCCGUUGGAAUAAAGUUACGUUGAAAAUAUUCCUCAUGAGAAAGCACGUGGGGGAGGGGUGGAGGACGGUGAGGCCCCCGCCACCCGGAGCACACCCCGCAGAAAGGAAGAGUUAUGGCCCUUCGGCACUGUCACUUCUAAGCGAAUUUUCGCGAUCGAAUGUCAUUCAUCGAACGAAUUGAUCAGUGCUGAGUGAUGCCGAUGAUCGGUGAUGGCAGGAGCCAAUCAGAGUUCAGAUUUUUUUCUAAAUGAAAUUAACAAGAAAAUAAGAAUACACAGAACACUAAAACACAGCAAAUUGCAAAAACACCAGACUUGAAUUGACAAAACACAACAAAAGAAAGGAAUGACAACACAUAAAUUCUGGUGAAAGAUGAAGUUUCUGACAUCGAUUGCAUCAAUUCAAAAAUCGAAUUCAAGUCCCGAGGUGAAUUCGAAAUUUCAAAUUGAUGGAUUUCAACGGUCUCUGAUGAGACCAACGAAGAAGUCGAAUAUCAUUGAAAAAAAAUGCACAAUCGUCGAAUAUCAUUCGACGGUGAAUGAUAUUCGAUCGCGAAAAUUCGCUUAAGCUCCUCUUAUAUCCGGCAUAUGCCAUUCCAGCGGCCCCCCCCCGACCCCCACCCCACCACACUGCUCCCGCGCUUGGAAUUGUUUAAUUUGCUACUUCCAUUUUAUUUUGGAACUGCACUAAUGUGCUAAUAGUGGAAAGUAGAGAGGAGAUUUGCUCCGCUUGAGCUGUUACGAGGCGCUCCAGAGUGUUAAGACGUUUAUCAAUAAUUGCUUGAUAAAACUGAUUAGCGUCGUUACUAUUCAUGUUUUUUUUGACUGGGCUGAGUAGGUACAGUAUCCACAUCGGAAUCGGGUAUGAUACCAGUUAAAGAUAGUGAAUGGACAGUCGUGCUUAAUAAAAGAAAAAGAGACCCCAGUUCGUCGUACAAUGGCUCUUCUGAGCAUAAAAAAACUCCCAAUGUGAACCCUAAAAGUAAAAUUAGUAAGGGAAAAAAGGGAAAAAGGGAAAAAGGGAAAAGUCAUUUUUUCCCGGUCUUCUAAUGUACAUACACCUAGUUCUAGCAACAAUAGUAAUAAUUUCAAUAUUUUAGAAGUCGAAAAACCGGAUAAGCCGGUAGCCAAGCCCCUUCUUCCCCCCUUUUUGUUUCAGGAGUAGGGAGACCACUCAUAUUCAAAAAGAUAGUAAUAGAUCCCCUAGUUAAUGACUCUAAACUACAUAUUGUAAAUAAAUCCCAAGUUAAGGUUUUAGUCAAAACCCGUGAAGAGUAUAACACUCUUUUUAACCAUUUCAAAACUCAUAAGAUUAGCUUCCAUACAUAUCAGUUUAAGGAAUGUAAAACCAUUAAACGUAUGAUAAGAGGACUUCCCUCUGAUUUCUCAGUAGAUGACAUUAAGUCAUCAUUUGUCUCUCGAGGCCUGUCGGUAAUCUCUAUUACUCAGAUAAGGCACUUUAUCACCAAGGCUCCAAUGCCACUGUUUACUUUAGAAGUUUAGGCGUCUUCUACAGUCGCCAGAAAACUUGAGAAAAUUAAUUCGAUUAAUAAUUUGAUAGUUUAACUUGAUUUUAUGAAAUAAAGUAAGGUAAUUGCUCACUGUCAAAAUUUUAUGGCUUAUGGGCAUACUAAACACUAUUGUUAUAGACAGCAGAGAUGCGUCAUCUGCGGCGAUUUUCACGUUGUGGAUGAAUGCUCUCGUAAAAAAGAGUCUUUUUCGACCCUUACACCCAUUGUUCCCACAUGCGCCCUUUGUGGCGGUCAGCACUUAGGUAUAACUACAGGAGGUGUAUGGUCUACAAAGACAUCAAAAAGAAAAGACUGUCAAACUUUGUCAAUCAUAUGAAAAUUCCACCUUUAAACCUCACUCAUCAAUCUAGUAAUCUCCCAAAAAAUAGCUACGCUAAUGUCCUCAGAGGUAAUACCUAACUUCUUCCAUAGGUUUUGCUGUAGAGGCUGAUGAGGACGAGGGUUUGGCCCCGAGAACCUUGUCAAUGAUGUCUCUCUUGUAUUUGGCAUAGUAUUCUUUCUCUGAUCUUUCUGUCUGGUGAUCUUCAGGAAAUUCUGGUCCAGAUCCUUUGAAUGGUAUACAGGUGUCAUCUAUUAAAUGUACUUGAGUAGUGUGACGGCACACAUGACAUUUUUACCAUGGAGUGGCGUGAAUACAUGGGGCUUCAAAGAUUUUAUUGGUGCAGGGAUCGCAUGCACGUACUGGUUUCUUAUGAACACACAAGAACCUAUACGCAUAAGCAGCUAUACGCUGAAGGUCUAGAUGAGUGUUGUAAAAUGGCAUUACACUAAAAUUUUUAUAAUUAUAUACACAAUUAAAUAAAUUGAGAAAUGUUCCAAGCAAAGCAGGCAAUACCUACAUCACACCACAAAGCAACGCCACACAACACUUUGAUAAACACACGUGAUAAGGGAGCUCGAUUUGCAGCUCGUCUAUACCAGACCACGGUUGAUAACGAACUCCCUCUUCGUCAUCUCCUU